rnacentral:rRNA from 2 species
CGCCUGGGGAGUACGGCCGCAAGGUUAAAACUCAAAUGAAUUGACGGGGGCCCGCACAAGCGGUGGAGCAUGUGGUUUAAUUCGAUGCAACGCGAAGAACCUUACCUGGUCUUGACAUCCACAGAACUUUCCAGAGAUGGAUUGGUGCCUUCGGGAACUGUGAGACAGGUGCUGCAUGGCUGUCGUCAGCUCGUGUUGUGAAAUGUUGGGUUAAGUCCCGCAACGAGCGCAACCCUUAUCCUUUGUUGCCAGCGGUUAGGCCGGGAACUCAAAGGAGACUGCCAGUGAUAAACUGGAGGAAGGUGGGGAUGACGUCAAGUCAUCAUGGCCCUUACGACCAGGGCUACACACGUGCUACAAUGGCGCAUACAAAGAGAAGCGACCUCGCGAGAGCAAGCGGACCUCAUAAAGUGCGUCGUAGUCCGGAUUGGAGUCUGCAACUCGACUCCAUGAAGUCGGAAUCGCUAGUAAUCGUGGAUCAGAAUGCCACGGUGAAUACGUUCCCGGGCCUUGUACACACCGCCCGUCACACCAUGGGAGUGGGUUGCAAAAGAAGUA